GCCCGCCGCUCGCAGGCUAUCGGUGUCCUGACGUCAGUUGGCCCAGCUGGCUCCCGGGGCCUGGAAAAGUCCACAGAGGGUUUCCCGCAGAUGGUCACAGAGCAAAAUCUCUCCUGCCGCCCCGUCGGUCUCUGCGUCUUCAAGCCGCCCCCUCUCUGCAUCUUCAAGUGGCAGGACACCACUGAGUCCGAAACGAUGGCCCUGUGCUUUUCUUCAAGGGGCGAUUUAUGGAUUCAGAAGAUUGAGAUCCUCGCGGCAAAUCGGCAGAGCAUUGAGGGUCAACGGGACCAGAAUACAUGGCAGUUUGUGAGAAUCCUUAUUUCUAUGACGAUUUCCCCUCCGUGCCAUGCAGGCGAGUGUCUGCAGGCGUCCCACACGAGAGGCCCUAGGGCUCAUCUGGACAGGCCCGAGAAACGAAGUCUUUAUUCAUCAGCUCUGUGUCACUGUGUGUCACUGCCAGUGUCCCCGGGGUUGCCAGACACCGUCAUUCUCCACUUCAGCUCUCGGAACAACUCCCCUUCCACUCUCGAUCAGACUCAUUCUUUGCACCCUCCCUAGAGGUGCCCAGUUUGUGGAGGACAUGCGUGGUGCCGGGCCGUGUAAGGACUGAAUUCACUAACAGAUGAGUUAAGGCCUACCCUGGGAAUCCCCAAGUCUUCAUGCAGGGGCUCCCCAGGGGAGACAGACUCCAAGUGAUUAGGCCUGAAGGUGUAUAGCAAGGGAUCAGGGCCCCGAAUACACACCACUGGAGCCCCUCGCCCUGAUCCUUGGGUUUUUGGUGCUUGCUUGCCACAGAGCUGAGAAAAAAAACGUGGCUCCCCUGGGCCCACAUCCAUUCAUUUUCUCCAGGGAAUUAGUCCGCCCUUCAAUUCUGGAGGCUCCAGAAAUGUUCCUCAGAGCAUCUGGAAUAUAUAUUUGCUCUCCCUGGUGAUUGCCAAGGCCAGCUCUGCUGGUUUUCUGUUUGUUCUACUCAGCCAUGGGAGCUGGAGCUGGUUCCUGCGGAUGGGGGAUGCCCAUAGCCCCCAAAGUCCUCUCUCCCUGCAUGACAGGGGAUGCGAGCCCAGACGUGGACCUGCUCUUCAAGCAAAGGAAACUGAAUGAAGGCUACCAAGAAUUAAAGGUUGGAGUCUCCAAAGCCCCCAGGUUCCUCCCAAUGCCCCCAGAAAGCCCCCCAUUACUACAAAUGUGUCCAGUCCUAGAGUCUGGAUCCUACCUGGAAAGAUUAAGUCAAACAGAUCAAUUCGCACUUGAGCUUAAUGGCUGUGUGACCUUGGACAAAUAACAUAACCUCUCUGAGCCUCACCUUUUUCAUCUAUAAAAGUAAGAAUAUUUCUGUAUUUACACUUAUCUCACUUCAGGGUAUAUUAAAGGUAUUUGAGAAACCCUGCAGACAACAGAAUUAGAUCUUAAUAGGAGAAAAAGGAUACAAAGAAAGGGGGGAUAAAGACCUAAGAUGAAGCCAGGCUGCAGUCAGUCUGUGAAAUGGAACACCCACCCCCCCCCCACCCGUCCUGACCACCCCCACCCUCGCCAUGAGAUCCUGUUACAGAGGUGUGCCCCAGCAAAUUCACCUCUGAGCUUCCUGACAGCCCAGAUAAAGGAAAUUCAAUGAGACACAAAAUCUGAAGUGGCCAUGAGAUUCAAAAUAGACCCACAGCUCAGAAGCGACCAGCUUUUCUGUGCCCUGAGGUCAACGAAGCUCUGUCCCCUGGACCUAGCAAAGGGGGCAGGUUGGGGAGGAGGAGUGUGUACACAGCGAAGCUGAGGCUAUCUUCUAGGGCUUUUUUUGUGUUUGAAUUAAAAUAAAAAUGCCUGACAGUGA